rnacentral:lncRNA from 1 species
CAAUAAUUGCUGCCUAUGAGCAAAAUGAUGGUCCAGUACUACACAUGGGUCCUUUGAAAAAAUGCAACUGAAUGGAUUUCAGCCUGAUUUAUUAACGCUAGUUGGUUUAGCUUCUACUGUUGCUCAGUCUAGGGAUUGUAAAAAAUAGCAGAUCUAUUCAUAGAUUCAUCAUGAGAAGGAGUUGGCUUAUGUAGGAUGUUAUCAUUGGAAAUGCAGUUGUGGACAUGUAUGCAAAAUUAGGUCUUCUAGAUUCUAUGCAAAAAGUUUUUUAGAUAAUCCCAGUUAAAGAUGUGAUUUCAUGGAACAUUUUGAUAACAGGUUAUGCUCAAAAUGGUCUUGCAAGUGAGGCAAUUGAAGUAUAUAAAAUGAUGGAAGAGUGCAAGGAGAUCAUACCUAAUCAAGGGACUUGGGUUAGCAUUCUGCCAGCUUAUGCGCAUGUUGGAGACUUGCAACAAGGGAAUGAGAAUUCAGAGGUGGGCUCCAUAGUUCAAUUGAAUUGUAGUUUGGGUGGAAUGAAUUGUUAUCUCGAAAUAUCGAUUAGUGCAUUUCAUCUCCUUUUUCAACUACAGAAAACCUCACAUCCACACCAUUGUUCGUUUCCCAUUUGCUCACCACCUUCAAUGUCUUUACUUCAUCAUAUUCACCACCUUCCACUACCCUUACUAUCAUUCAUUCUCCACCUAUUUGAUUUCGAUUUUCCUGUGUACAGGAAGUCCCAUGUGCAAGGCCACCCUUCAACUUUCUAAUACCCAUUUUCUCCAUCUAUCACCAUGUUCCAUUAAUCACACCUCAUACUCCACCAUGCCCAUAACCAUACCCACAACCAUACCCAUAUCUCUAUCUUCUAAACCCACUGUCUUCAACCCAUUCACCAAUCCUCAUGCAUGCAUGGACAUCAUUCAUACCCAUUUCUCUCACUACCCAAAUGCUCCUCUCAAUUCCUAACAUUUUAAACUUAGUUUUCCUCUCCACCUUUUCUAUUCAUUCCACCAUUAAACACACCCCUCUCAUCACCCUUCAUCACCCAUUUCAUCUUCCAAACCCACUACCCACGGUCGAUACCCACCUCAUUACCUCAUCUCAUCCAUCCAUUGUGCCACUAAAUGCACCCUUCUCACUACCCUUCAUCACCCAAUCUACCACUUCAACUCUUUGGACGAGGUUUUCAUGAAUGAUCAAUUUCUGAAAUUGGGAUCCAGAGAAUCGACUCAAAGUUCGGAUCGUGUCUGCCAGGGCUUAUCAUUCACCAUUCAUGCACAACAUGUGUAUCCGACCCGCACUUGAAAAGCUGGAGAAUUUCGGUACUUCAGACUUAAUUAUAUACAAUGUUGGGCAGUUCCCAUGUAAUCGAUACACCCACUACAUGGCAUCCUUUGCUAGCGUAGAUCUUAAUCUUGCUGGGAGGGAAAUGGUCAUCCUUGGCACCCAGUACGCCGGGGAAGUGAAGAUGGGUCUGUUUAGUGUAAUGUGUUAUCUUAUGCCUAAGCGUCAAAUCCUCUCCCUACAUUCCGGCUGCAAUGUGGACAAAGAUGGAGAUGUCGCCCUCUUAUUUGAAUUGUCAAGUACUGGGAAGAUAACUUUGUUUACUGAUCACAAUAGAUAUUUAUCGGAGAUGAUGAACACCGUUAGGGUGACAAUGGCGUGUCAAACAUUGAGGAUGAUGGGGUUCGUCUUGAUCAUUUCGGCACCAUAUCUACUGCGCCCACUGGCCCUGCUGUGGUGAUGUUUCAGUCAAAUGGUCAAAAUUCCAUUAUCGUUGUUGGGGAUGGAGAUGGUUUUGUACAUGCUAGUGCAUAGUAUUCUCAGCUCAUGCAUGAAAUCACAUUUUCAUCAAAUGAUGAGCCAAAAAUCCUGAGUCGACUAACUUGCUCGCUUUCUAAGAUUGGGCUCAACAUCCAAGAAACAUAUGUCUUUUCCACAGUGAAUGGCUACACCUAAGAUGUCUUUAUUGUGAUGGAUGGCCAUAUAAGGAAACAUAGCAGCUAAGAACUGCACUGGAAAAGGAAGUUUUAAGAUUGAGAAGCAGUCUUGGCCAAAUCAUCAUUUCUUAUCUCCUAUGGGUGAGCAAGAAGAAAUAUGAAUCAAAUGCAAAUAUGAUUUUGUGACAAUACCUAAUGAUGGGACUGGCGUCCGGGAAAUCGAUGUUAGACAGUUGAAAUUUGAGAACAAAGUUGCAUUGAGUUCAUAUGGUGAUCUGUACAAAGGCACAUACUAUAGUCAGGAAGUGGCAAUUAAAGUCCUUAAGCCUGAGAAUAUAAAUUCAAACAUACAAAAAGAGUUUGCACAGGAAAGUCUUUAUUAUGAGGAAAGUUAGGCACAAGAAUGUGGUACAGUUCAUUGGCGCAUGUACAAGACUUCCAAGCUUAUACAUUGUGACAAAAUUUAUGUCUGGUGGAGGCGUGUAUGACUAUCUACACAAGCAAAAUGGUGUUUUUAAGCUUUCUGCAUUGCUCAAGGUAGCAAUUCAUGUUUCCAAGGGAAUGAAUUACUUGCACUAAAAUAAUAUAAUCCACAGUUGGAUUUGGCCUAGCAUAUGGAGGACAUGGUGCUGUUUUUUGGGGGUUUGUUGGUAAGGAUGACUUCAUCAUGGGUGGCCACGUGACAGGGAUGAUACAGUACAUUGCAAGCUAUUUUUAUACAUGCCUGUGCAUGAUGAUUGCAAGUUAAAAUUCUGGAACUAAAGGCAUUACAAGUUCAUCUUUAACCUUGGAAGCACAACAGAAGGUGAUUGACUUAAUGGUAAAGAGAUGUCCAGAAAAUAAAAAUAAAAAACCUCAAUUAGGCAAUAAAUUGAGCAAGGCAGAUGCAAUCACCCACCCCAUAGUGUUGUAUCAAUUGCACCUCAAGUCCACGUGUAGGACCUUAUUUUUGCAUGGCCACCCUCCUAUGCCCAUUUUCAAAGCCCACGUGCUUCUUUCCUUUGCCUUCAAAAUUGAUUUUUGAAAAUCCAGUUUUUAAAUAAUUCCCCUCCCAAAUUCCUCAUCCUUAGAAUUUUUAGGUUCUAAAAAUCCCAUUUUCAAUAAAAAUUUUAUUGUCGUUUUCUUUCCAACAAGCAACUUUCGUGUCUCCUUUGAUUUUUUAAAAUGUUUUAAAAUAAGCAUGAAUAUAUUUUUGUAAUUCCAAGUGAUGGAAUUUACGGAAUUGAUUCAUACAAAAAUAAAUUGGGUUUUGGUGGGGCCCAACAUUAGUGAUGUUUUCUUCAAAAAUAAAUCUGAGUGGAGUGCGAUGUCUGACAAUUUCUUACUUUGUUUAGUGACAUAUGCGACAUACUUUGUGUGUUCAUUUAUUGUGCACUAACCCCAUUUCCUGAUAGCGCAUUAUCGUUUGCUGCCAAGGUAUGCACCCAUUCUCACUCUAACCAUUCUCUGUUCAUGUUUUGGCUCCCAGUGUAUGAUCACUUUAUGGUAUCCAUGUUUAAUCAAUCAAUUUCCACAUGUGUUUCAUUUUAUUAGUAGAGACUCGUCUUUAGAGACUUAGAGGGGUGCUACGGUUUUUACCAUACCUUCCCAAUAAGUAACCUGACCCCCGAACCCUAAUUUGGUUUUUCACAUAUCAUCUUUUCCAAAAUAAAGAGUUACACUUAGGGUUUUGUUUCUUAUUUUGUUUACCCUGUAAAAAUAAAACAAAAAUAAGUGGCGACUCUAAGUCAUUUUCUUAAAAUAAAUAAAUAAUCAUUUUCAAAAUAAAAAGUGAGUUCGCCAUUGAGUGGAAAUGCAUGAGCAGAAAUGCGGGGUCCAUAGAUCCUUCUGUUCAUACUUCAAUUCACUAAGCAUCUUGUGAAGCCAAACUACUUGACAUGUUGCGGAAGUAACUAUCAUGUAUUCAACUUCUGUAGUUGAUAAUGCUAUAACUUGCUACUUCUUUGAUGACCAUGAGAAUGCUCAUAUUCCAAGAUAAAAAAACAUACCUAGUAGUACUCUUUCUAGUCUCUACAUCACUUUCCCAAUCACUAUCUGUGUAGCCUACUAAACUAAAGUUGUUUGAGUAGGAGUAGAAAAUUCCAUGAUCACAAAUACCACUUACAUACCUCAAAACUCACUUGGCUGCUUGCAAGUGUGACUAAUAUGGUUUUUCCAUAAAUCGACUAAUAAUUCUCACUCCAUAAGCAAUAUCUAGUCUAAUAAAAGUUAAAUAACGAAGACUUCCUGCUAUGUCCUUGAAAUAUGUGGGAUUUACUAAUUCUCCAAUGUCUUCUUUUUUCAACUCUAGUCACUCUAUAAUAGGAGUACAGAUUGUUGAUGAUGAUUCCAUCUUGAAUCGCCUUAGAAUGUUUAAAGCAUAUUUAUUUUGUGAAAUAAAAAUUUCAUCAUCUAUUUGUUGGACUUCAAUUCCAAGAAAAUAGGACAUUAAUCCCAAAUCUGUCAUUUCAAAUUGUUGUUUCAUUACCUCCCUGAAAUCUUCAAACAUUUGUUGACAGUUUCCUAUAAAAAUCAAAUCUCCACAUAGAGACAUACAACAAUUAUAUCGCUAUUAGAAUUUGAUUUGAUAUAAAGUGUACGCUCAAAUGACUCUUUUGAAAUUCAUGUUGUAGUAAAUAAGUAUCAAUCCACGUGUUCCAAGUGCGUGGUGCCUACUUUAACCCAUAUAAUGCCUUAUUGAGUUUGUAAACCUGUUUCUCUUGCCAUUCCUUAAUAUAUCCUGGUGGUUGUUCAACAAAAACCUCUUUUGCAAGUACACCAUUAAGAAAAGUUGACUUCACACCCAUUUGGUGAAUUUUCCACAUUUUCUAAGUUGUAAGUGCAAUUAUCAUGCGAAUAAUAUGUAAUCUAGAAAUUGGUGCAAAAACUUCAAAAUAAUCAAUACUUAGCUUCUGUUUAUAGCUUUUUGCAACCAAUCUUGCCUUAAAUCGAUCAACAUUACCAUCAGGUUUAUAUUUUAUCUUAUAAACCCAUUUAACACCUAUAUAUAUUUUUUUCCAAUUGAAAGAGUAGUUAGCUCCUAUGUAUUGUUCUUUUCUAUGGAUUGAAUUUCUUCAUUCAUUGCUUGAAUCCACUUUUCAUCACUUACUGUUUCUUUGUAUGAAAUAGGAUCACAAUCUGCAAAUAAACAAAAGUUAACUAAACUUUCACCAAUAAUUUCAACAUCUUUCAUGACUUCAUAAUCCUUUAGAUGUGCAUGCAUAAUAUGAGAAUGUUUUGGGCGACUUUGUGAUUCAGACUCCUACUUUGUUUUUGUUUGCAUAAGAGAACUUCUAAUAGGAGAAAAAGUAUUUGAAGUAGAAAUAUCUGUUGUAGAAUCCUUCUGAAUCUCAAAGUCUUCUUCAAGGACAACUCUUUUUUACUCACUUUGUGUUUGAGUCCAUGUCUAACACUCAUUCUCCAAGAAUUGAACAUCUCUACUCACAAUCAACUUCCAUGUUUCUGGAUUAUACAGUUUAUAACGUUUAGUUACAUCACAAUAAUCAAUGAAAAUACACUUCUCACUUUUAUCAUCAAACAUUUUUAUGUGCUCCUUUGGUAUAUGGGAAUAUGCAAUACACCCAAAAAUUUGCAAAAAAGAAACUUUUGGUUUAUGACCACUCCAAACUUUCUCAGGUGUUCUUCAAAAGACUACUUUAGUAGGACACCUAUUUAAUAAGAAUAGUGCACAUGUAACAGCUUCUGCCCAAAAUUUUUUUGGAAGAGACUUAGCUUUCAACAUGUUUUUUGCCAUUUCAAUAAUGGUUUUAUUUUUCCUUUCAACGAUACCAUUUUUCUUAGGGAUAUAGCUAGUUGUCAAUUGACAUUGAAUUUUCUGACUUUUGCAAUAAUUAUAAAAUUCAUUAGAGGUGAACUCUCAUCCUCUAUCAAAUCUCAAUAUCUUAAUAUUGCAACCACUUUGUCUUUCAACAAGAACUUUGAAUUCUUUAAAUUUGUUAAAAGCCUCAAAAUUUUCUUUUAACAAAUAAAUCCAAGUUUUUUUUUGUAAAAUCAUCUAUAAAGGUCAAAAUAUAUUUUUUAUUGUUGGCAGAUCAAAGGGUUGGUCGAGUCCAUCAACUUCCCUUGUGUUCGAAUGUCGUGGUUGUUUGGAUGAAUGCAUUAUAAGUUUAUGGUAUGCAUCUUUCCUAACAACAAUUGCUUUUAAGAGAGUUGAUAGCGCCUAAGGUCCUACAAGUAGUAUCAGAGCCAAGAUCAUGGGUUCGAACCCAAACGGUGUUGUCGGGAGAGAGAUUGUUGACAAAUCGGAGAGUUGGCUUCCUCCAUCAACUCCCCUUAUGUUCGAAUACUAUGGGCGCUUAGGUGAAUGCACUAUAAGGUUAGUGUAUGUGUUUUUCCUAAUAGCAAUUGCUUUUAGGAGAGUUGGUAGCGCCUGAGAUCCUACAGUUAUGACCAAGAGAUCUUACAUCAUCAAGAUCACAUAUAUUUGUAUGCACCAACUCCAAAGUUGCUUAUUUUUUUGGAUAUUCCAAUUGGAAAAGAAUUCCUAUGUUGUUUCCCUAUGAGACAUCCUUCACAUGCACGAUCUAGCAUUAUUUCAAAAAUUGGACUGGAUUGGCCGAUCCGACCAGUUCGACAACCAAUCGGUCACCAAUCCAGUCCGAUUUGAUUAUUUAAGCUAAGGAGCCUUUGAACCGGUGUCGGAUCACCAGAACCGGCAGUUGGACCAGUGAACAGGAUGACUCGACAAGUUUUGAGUGAAUCGAAUGAUUCUCCUCCCCCAUCUAACGCUUCAUCAGCCCGCCUUAGUGUCACCGCCCCUUGCAACCUGUUCUUCUUCCCAGCUCCUCACAGUGCCCCCACCCAGAUUUUUUCUUUUUUUCGGUGCCAAAACCCUUAUUUCUUCCUCGCCCUUCCCUACCCAGAUUUUUUCCUUUUUCCAGUGCCUCCAAAACCCUUCAUUAUUCCUCGCCAUUCGGUGCGAAAACCCUUCCUUCUACUUUUCCCUUUCCCACUUAGAUUUUUUUCCUUUUCGUUUUUGGUGCCCUAACAAGAAUCGAAGUCCUGGAAUCUUCCUCCCCAAGGCUUCUACCCUCGCUAUCUGCAUCACCCAUUUUCGAGCACAACAUCGGCUUGUUCCACUCUAAUGUGUUCGCUAGAAAAAUCAAAGAAAGGCAUCGAAUAAGAACUACGAAGGCAGAACUGGCAGGGAAAUUGAGGGAUGUUGGAAAAUGAAAUGAGGUAUAGGAAUGGAAAGAUAGGGUUUUGUGGAGAGCGAAAAUACGAGGGCGCGAUGAAUUAGAGGAGCGAGUGAGGAGUGUUGUAAACGAGUGUGGAGAUGGGUUGAGAAACAUGGCCCUCAACUGACUCCGCCACAUCAUCUUCAUUUCUGCAUAUUGCCUUGCGCUUCUCUAUUCACUUCAUCCCACACCCACAGGUCGCUUGUGGUUGUAUAUAAAUUAAAAAAUGCCUUAUAUUUUUAGUCAUAUGGGUGUAUGGUCUCUUACACUACUUUCAUCAUUUGGUCAUCAACAACUCAUCUAUUAAGUUUUACGGUGUUAUACUCGAUUUUGCAGUGAUUCUAAAAAAUAUUUUAAUAUUUUUAUUUUUUUUAAAUUAUUCAAAUAUUUAAAAAAAAUCAGAAACACUUUUUAAAAUUAUUGACAAAACACAUUCUAAUUUAAAACUAAUUUUCUCAAUUUUCAAAUAAAAUUUUAAUUUUUAAAUAAUAUAUAAAUUAUUAUUAUUAUUAUUAUUAUUAUUAUUAUUAUUUUAAUAAUAUAUAAAUUAUAUAUUUAUGACGUCACUAGUUCGAUUGUCGGUCCGACCAAUGAACUGUGAACCGAUAACUUUUUCGGUUUAAUUACCGGUCCGAUUCUGAAAACAUCACGAUCUACAAUAUCAAUCAUAGGUAAUCCUGUUACCAUGUUCUUCCGCACUAACAACUUCAACCCACAAAAAUUAAGAUGACAAAACCAAAUAUGCCAAAGCCAAUUGCUAUCUUCUAUUGUUGCCUUCAAACUAAAUAAAGUUUAUGUUUGAAGAAACAUAAGAAACAUCCUAUUCUUUGUCAUCUACACUUUUGUAAUCAUCUUCUUAUUUUUAUCACUAAUUCUUUGUCAUCUGCACUUUUGUAAUCAUCUUCUUAUUUUUAUCACUAAGGGUGCAAACUCCAUUAGAAAUAUUAAUGAUAUGCUCUUUUUCUGUUAAUUGUUUCAUACUCAACAAAUUCCAAAAAAUACAUCUGCUAUAGUAACAUCAGUACCAUCUUUAGAACCUAUUUUAACAUUACCUUUGCCCAUGAUCAAAACUUUGGAUUUGUUUCCAAAAUUAACAUCAUCUCAAAUUGAUUAAUCUAAUUGUGAAAACAAUUCUUUCUUACCACACAUAUGAUUAUUACAUUUUGACGAUCUAUAUUUGAUAUUACUACAUUAUAAGCCAAUACCAAAUUCUGUUCUAUCUCGACGGUGUUUACCUGCUCAUCAUGUUCAUUAUGCAAUUUUGUCGACAUUCUGACUUAUACAGCCCAUACUUUUUGCAUCUAAAACAUUGUAUGUGUGAAUUGUCUUUAGGUUUGGAAGUAUUACCCCUUCUUUUAGAAGAAUUUGUGUCACCAUCUCCAUUUUUAUUGUUGAAGUUGUUGUGUCCUCUUCUACUUCUACCACGACCAUAACCUCUAGCACCUUGUUGGCCACCACAACCUCCAGUAGAUGCUCUACUCUACAGGGCUUGCUCCAAAUUUGUAGAGUUGAUUAUCUGAUUCAUUCGUUAUUCAUGCAAACACAAUGAACUUAUCAACCCUUCAACUGUGAGAGUGAAUAUAUAUAUAUAUAUAUAUAUAUAUAUAUAUAUAUAUUUUCAAUUAUUGCAACAACAUAGUCAAAUCUUGCACUUAAAGAACGAAUAAUUUUCUCUGCUAUUUGUUGAUCAUCAAGCUUCUCAAAAUUAACUUGCAUCUAGUUAACAAUACUUUGUACUCAAUCAAAAUAAUCUGAGAUAGAUUUAGAGUCAUUCAUGCAAAGAGACUUGAAUUCAUCUCUUAAUGUUUGCAACUUCAUUCGCUUGACAUGUUCAUUACCUUUAUAUAACUUUUGUAGAGUAACCCAUGCCUCUUUUGUUGUUUCUGCCUCUAAGAUUUUCUCAAAUAUGGAUUCAUCCAUUGCUUGGAAGAUUGUAUAAAGUGCUUUUUGAUAUUUUUUUUCGAUAAUAUUUCAAUGAAUCUUUCUACUCCUUUGAUAGCGUCUCGAAUUCUUUUGAAUCAAUUACUUUAUUAUAACUAAUAUUCACUAGAUCCCAUAAAUAUCAAAAUCUAAACAAGACACGCAUUUGAAUACACCAGUUAUCAAAAUUCUUACUUGUGAAUUUUGGGAGUUGAGGAUGAAUUGAGUUAUUAUUUGCAGCUAUAUUUUCAUUAACAAGAUUACAACAUUCUUGUGAUUAUGCACAUUCCCUGGUAUUCUAACUCUGAUAUGAUAUUUCACCUUUCUUGAUCUUUUGGCUCUGAUACUAAUUAUUGGAAUCCACACAAUUGAGUAUUGAUAAUAUUUUGUUAAAAUAAAAAUUUAUUGUAUUAUACUUUUAAACAUAAUAACAAGCCUAUUUAUAUUAAACUAAUCAUACUUGUAUUAUGAUUUCAAUUUCUAUUAGACUAAGAUUCCUAAUUAAUAUAGGAAACUUAAAUAAAUAACUGUUCCUAAUAUUUAUCAAAUUUAUAAAAUUAUUCUAAUUUCACUUUCAGUAGUAUUAUAAUUUCAACGAAAGUUAUUAUUAUUAUUUUUUUGUUUUAGAUAACACAAAAAUGUUUUUGAAAACAGCACCAUACAUACCUAAAAAAACCCAUUUUCCGUUUUUAAGAGUGAAAAUUUGUUUUGAAGUCCAAACAGACUCUUAACCAUUUUAGACAUCUUUUGCCCAAAUAGUUGGAUUCUCUUCACUCAUGACUUCCAAAGUAAAAAACAGUGUCGUAUUGGGAUGGUCCCUCCAAUUCAUUCCCAUGUGAAGGUGCCAACUACCUUUGCGGUGGAGGAUUGUUUUGGUCAUUUCACUACUCUCCUUCUUUCUUUCUCUUAAGUGGGUGUAAUGGAAAUAUGGGCAUGUUUAACAACAACCGUUCUAAAAAAUAUCAAAUAAUAGUUUUUAAAAACUCUUCUCAAAAAAAUAUUUUUGAAAAUAAUUAUUAAAUAAGGUCUAUAUUUUCCCACGAAAACUCUUUUUGCAUCCAUACUAUUUAUACAUCCAUUUAAAAAUUGAUUUAAAAAUCACUCAAACACAACAUUAUAAUUACAGAGCAUAUCCUUUCCCUAAACUCAUCUUUCUCUUCAUUUUUUUCUCUCAAUCUAUUUCUUCUCGACCACAAACUCUAAUUACAGAGCAUAUUAUUUAAAGCUUAUUUGAUAUCAAAAGACUAUAACGUGUAUUCAUAGCUAUUUCAAUUUUUUUUAUAUAUUUUAUUUGAAUCUAUGCAACGUGAUAUAAUUUUUAACUAAAAUUUGUUGUUAUAAUAAUUUAAAAGCAAUUAGAAAAAAUUUAGAAGUGAAAAAUUAUGAAAAAUUUCAAUGUAAAUAAAAAAAAACAUAAAAAAAUACAACCAGUGACAACUACAUACAAAAAAUAAUUUUUCUUAACAAUUUUUUUCCUUAGUAUAUUCUAAUAAUGAAACAUAACCGUAAAAUUUGUGAUUGAAAAAAAAAAAACCAAGUUAGAGAAAAGAAGAAGAAGAAGAAGAAAAAGACCGGUAUAAAGAUAAAAUAAUGAGAAGAAUGAUUUGAUGAUUUUAAAAUUAUAGGGUGAAUUUAUAAAUAAUUUUUUAAUUUUUAAAAUGACAUAUAAAUGCAAUCUAUCUAAAUUUUUUUUGAUAGAUAUAAAUAUAAUUUUUCAUAUAAUAAUAUCCAUAAAUGCGAUUAAACCUAUAAAAAUAACUAUAAUUUAUAACUUUUAAAUUUGUAAAUUAUUAUUUUUAAAAUACUUUUUAAAUUAUUUUUGAGUUUCACAAUCAUUUUUAGACUUAAUUACUUUAAUUAUUCAUUUUUAAAUGUAAAAUAUUUCUAAAAUAAGAGAUAUUAAUAAAUUUAUAUAGGUUUAAAAUAUAUUUAAAUAUUAUUAAAAUAUGAUGAAAUAUUAUUUACAUUUCCUAUUUAAGAAUAAUAGGAGAUAAAUACAUGGACCUUUUAAUUUUAAAUAUAUAUAUUUUUUACCCUGGACAGACGUGGGCCAAUCAAACAGCGCCUCUGCAUCUCCCCACAUUUGCCGCGUUACACACAAAUAUAACCCUCAAUGACGCCCAUGUCCGUACGCUCUUAUAAGACAGAGAGAGCGACAGAGAGCGAGAGAGAGCGCGUGAGACACCAUCGCCAGCUUCGAUGUCUCCGCCUCCCAUUUCCGGUUCUCCAGGACUCGUACAAACCCCUAAUUCUGCUCCCCUGUCUUCACAAAUUCCACACCUCCAUUUCCACCAAAAAGUCGCCGUUUGAUUGAUCCCUCACAAUGUCGGCGAUCUCGAACUUUCCGGCGGCUCACCGGCAUCGCGCAGCGCCAGUGGGGGUUUCGGAGGCGGGGAAGUUUGGGUUUCGGUCGGCGGUGGCUUCGGUGCCGUUCCAGGUGAUUUUCUUGAAAACGAUGCGUUUUGGCCUUGCUUUUCCUGUAAAUUUCAUAAGGCAAUUACAAAGUAUUGGUUUUUGAUGGCAUUGGUGCAAUUUUCUGAAAACCUGAGGGCAAUUGUCACUUGUGUUUGAUUGAAGAGGCAAUUUUUGGUGAUUGUUGGGAAUCGAUGUUUGCUGAAAAUUGCUUGUCAGAAGAGACACAUGAAUUGAGGCCUUGACUUUGAAAAUAUUCACCAGUGCUGCCAUUGAGUUUGGGAAGCAAUUCGCAAAUCGAGUAGCAUUUUUGUCUUUGGAAAUGUUAUAAUUGCUUAAUUCUCAUGUUUUCUGAUAGGAAAUGUUAUAGUUACAAUGGAAGUUAAAGUUCUAAGAGAAGGGAUAGGUAGACCUACGAAUGAUGAAAUAGGAAAGUUUUUAACUGUAACUAUUUUGAACAGUCCUGGAAAUUGAGAACCCACUUGAUCCCCCACCACAAAUCUUCCCAAAAACAGAUUCUCUCCCACCACAAACCGAGUGUACCCGGUAAAAUCCUGAAAAACCUAUGCAAUAGCCUUCCAUGGGCUGCCUGUGACCACCUGACUAUAGUGUUGGCAUCCCAUUCAUUAGUACGUGUCUCAUGUAUGCUUAGAAUAACCUGAUGCUACAGAGCAGAACUCUCCCUAGGACCCUCCAUAGCCAUUUCCAUAUUCCGUAGAGAAAUCUUCCCAAAUUCCACCUUAAGCUUACACACUAGACAUGUAUGGCAAAAUUUUGACAUCUUUAAUUUAUUUCUUUAUUUAUUUUAAUAUUGGUCAAAAUAUCAAACUUGAACCAAAAAUUAGAAUCACUGAGCUGAAUAAAAAUGGUAAUUUUUAUGAAUUUUGCAUCUGUCAGAUUGAACUGCUGGCCUGUUCAAUUUUGUGCAAGUGAUUGAAAAUUAUGGCCAGAUUUUGGAACUAUGAUUAUUGUGGCAAUGUAAUGUCACUGUUAAUUUUUCCCACAGUAAAUGCUGUUAAUAUAUGUGCUAAUGAUGCUAAGCAAUGUGAAUUAACUCUUUAAUUUGCUUCUUUGAAUAGACACAAGAAAUAAUUGCUCAUACUUUUUCUAAAAAAAUUGCAUUCAUGUCAUUGGAUCUAUUUGGAGAAGCAAAUUGGAGAGCUACUUCAUUCUAUUUAAGCAUUUUGUCCCUUAUAUCAUUCACAUAGAGGUUCAUAAGUAAAUAGUCAGGAAAGAAAUAUGCAAAUCUGUUAGUGUCAUAGCAUUUUAAUGUAAAUUUGUUAGUGUCAUAACAUUUUAGCAUUGUAGAUUCUUGGAAUUUUGUUAAUUUUGUUUCUUUAAAACAAGGGUUAAGGUCACUUGCCAAUUUCAUCUUAGACCACAUAGUAAUGGUAUAUUUUUUUUUUAAUUUAUUUUUGAGUUUUAUUUACUUUUAGGGGUUAUAUUUCAUAUUAAGUGUGUUACACCCAAGCGUUUGUUGAAAUCCAGGAAGGCCAAGUAAUGUUUGAUACUACUUUCUUUUGUUUUGGUUCCUUCUGGUUGUAGGAUGAUAUAUUUUGGCGUUCUCAGUCAGCUCUUAGUCACUCAAGGAAGGCAGCUAAAUAUCCAAGUGUUCAAAUGGCAUUAGUCGAUGAGAGGGUUGCACAUGGUAGAAAUCUGGCAAAACCUUCCAGAAUUUUGGUAAUUAAACUAGUUUAAUGCACAUUCCAACACAUAUUAGUUUGGGUCAAUAAGGUGUAGUGUAGAUUCUUCAUAAACAAUACUUUUAGAAUACUUCAGUUUACAGGUCUUCAUCUUUCCUGCAAUUGUAUAUGACCCUUUAAUGAUUAGCAUAAGUUUUCUUUGCAGGCAUAUGAUCUUGUUCAAGGACCACUUGUAAGUCGUGUAUUCCUUGAUCUCCUCAUAAAACACGAUUCUAGUUUGUUGGCAUUAACUUUAAUGUGCCUCCCUUUCAAGAACAAAUGCUUCCCAUUGCUAUGCAUUAGGGCAUCUAGUGCUUCUUCUUCUUCUUCUUCUUUUUUCUUUUAUUUAUUAUUUAUUUAUUUUUUUUUUACAGAUUUUCAGUCAUAUGAACUCAAGUGCAUUUCUUGCUGUUAUCCUUGAUAAAUAUUAGUGAGAUGAACUUUCUAUUAUUGCAAUCAUGACAAUUAAGCCUCCCCAGUUUGAAUAUAUGUAAACUUAUUAUUGAUAGAUGAAAAACUUUACUGUUUGGGAGACUCCUCCCUUCCCUGCUCUACUAUCAUUUAGACAUGACAAAAUGAUCUUAAGCAAAAAGAUUCUUGCAAUUUAAGUUCAUGUUUCUUGAGAAAGUGCAUAAGCUUUUAGACACUUGAAAGAACACCUUAUUAUCUUUAGAAGGUAGUGUUGCUAUUAUUUAAUUUGGUUUGCAACAUCUUUAUUUCUCCAGGAGCCUGUUAGUGUUGUCUCUAACAUUGAGAUUAGCUCAAUUGCUUUCUGUGGUUAGGGAGGAAGGAAUCUAGUACAGUCCAUUUAGUUAGUUGGGGAUGUAGUCUUUUAGUCCAAACAAGAUUGAUGGAUUGCAAUUAUAUAGUUUGAUCCUGAGGAACAAAGGCUUCAUUGGUAAAUGAUUGUGGAUAUUUACUACAGAGAGAAGAUUCCUUGUAGAAAUUUAAGAUAAAAAAUUGGUGUAAUUAUAGAAUACCGGGUAAGAUACCAAUUAGGCAUGUGGGGAACUUCUCUCUCUCUCUCUCUCCUUGGAAAGCCAUAUUUCAAGUUAUCUAUAUCCUUUUUGCUCACGCUAGAUGCCUUGCUAGAAAUGUGUUCAUAAUUUGUUUUUGGGAAGAUGUGUGACGUGGAAUCUUUCUAUUAAGCAAAUGGUUGAGGCCUACAUAAGCAAGAGGAGAUUAUUCCUACAAUUCUUUGAUGAUUUGGCAGGAAAUGGAUUGUGGAGAGCAUUUUGUUGAUUUUUAUUUGAUCCUGACUUUUAAUUCCUUGUUUUUGUUUUUGCCUCUCUCUCUCUCUCUUUUGGUGUAACUUGUAUGUCUCACUUGUACUUGGGUCCACAGCGUUCAUGCCACCUCCACCAGCCCAGUUAUCUUUGCUUCGUAGUUCUUACCUAUCAGAAAGAAGUUUGGUUUGGAGACAACAUUUUCCAAGAUUCUGUCCUUGACCUUUUAGACUUCUUAGAUCUUGAAGAUAUAUUAUUUUUUAUUUGCCUCAGGAGAAAUUCUAGAAUAUUUGAGAAUAGGUGUCCUAUAGAGGCUUAAUGGGAGGUCGUGCAUUUUUCAUUGUCCCUUUGGGUUUCAACCACAAGUGUUUUGUGUGGACCCUUUUGAGCUUGAUAUUGCUUGAUAGGAGUCUUAUAUGUCCAUCCAAGAUGAAUGCUUCUGAGGUGUGAGUUGAUUGGAGACCCCUAACAGGUGCUCUCAAGUUAAACUUUGAUCAUUGUUCUUUGGGUAAUUUGGGUCAGCUUGGGAUAGGAGGUUCCGUUAGGAAGCAUGAUGGUAGACUAUUGACAGCCCUCUCUAAGCCUAUUGGUUUUGGGAUUAGCCACUGAGGUGGAGAUUCAGGCUCUUUUAGAGGGAUGUGGCACUGCCUAAUUUCAUAGUGGAGGAGGACUCCUUAUUGUCAUGUCCUGGAUGUCAAAUGCUAAUCAUGGUGCUUGGAAGUAAGAUGUGUGGCUGAGUCAAAUCAUUAUUACUGGAGAAUUAGGGUCCUCUUGUGGUGUGGUUGGAUUCGUUACUCAACUAAUCAGAUACAUGAAUUUUCUAAGUAAUUAUGGGGCCUCUAAGUUAGAGUUCUUUUGUCGGAGGUUUUUUCCCUUCCAUGAGCACUUCUCUUUAUGUUGGCUUUGGAGUUGUUUUGUAUUGGAAGGUCUUCUGCCCCUUUUAUUUGUGUAUGUGCAUGUGCAUGUUUUAUUUUUGUGCUUCUAGCCUUUCAUGUUUGCUUUCUUUUCUAUAUUUCUUUCUUCUUUUUGGUCAGAUUUAGUUCUUUUGGAUGGAUGAUAAAGCGUACAAUUGUUGAUGCUCUAGCUUGUGCUAGUAAUCCCUUCUCUUGGAAUUUCAUUUUUUUUUCUUCAUUUAGAAAUUUUAAUGAUCAUGAUCUUGAUGGGCUUACCUGUUUCAUGCAAAUCUUGCUUAUUUGGCUAUUUACCCACUGAAUGAGAGAUUUUUAAGUUUGUGAAUCAAUGGAUUAUUUCCACCAAAUGCUUUUCUUGUUUCCUUGUUUCCUUGCUGAGGCUAAAACAGUCUUUGUCUCCAUUGUCUAAAUUGAUUUGAAUGGCAAACUUCAUCUGAUGUUAAGGCUUUUGGGUGUCCAGUUUAUCUACAAAAAGAUAAGGCUAACAAGGUGCUUGGUGCUCCAAGCUAGAAGGAUAAGAAGGCUCUUAUUGUUGGUAUGCACCUUCUUUGUAAGAGUUGUUUUCUAUUAUGAAGGUCGUCCUCUUUGCUAGGCAUUAGUUGGUUAGUCCUGUUGGAGUUGUAACCCUGAUGGAAAUUUUUAGGACUUCAGAUAAGAGGGACAGGCUAAAAUCUUGUGCCCUGAUCUUUUGUUGGGGGUGUAUUUGGUGAUUUGGUUGGGAGAAAUUACUAGAGUUCUGAAAGAAGACAGUUAUUCUCCAAAAUUUUGCUUUGGAAUAAGGAUCUCAUUUUUGGCUUCCCUAUGGAUUCCAUUUUGUGAAUAGUCUGGAGGUGUUUCCCUGAGAAUUGUAUUGUUUGGUUGGAUAUUAGUUUGUGAUACUUAGGAUCAUUCUUCUAUGUUAAUUGCUCUUGGAGACCACUGCCAAAUGGGAUAGUUAAAAUUGACUGUGAUGUUUGUUUCCCUUGGAACAUUGUUUAAUCUUCUUCAAACUGGUCUGGUUUAGUUGGUGGCAUCAAAGGAAGCACCCAGACAACUCCAAAAUCAGGUAGGCUAGAAAACUGCUCCCUUGAGAGUAGUUUUAUCGUUGGGGUUUAUGUUGCUCUGAUGUUCUUUAUUUUUUAUGUUCCAUCAUUUUUCCUUCUUCUGAAGGAUCCUCCAUCCUUCAGGAUAUGUAACUUGUAGUUAUCUUUUGGUUGCAAACUAAAACCCUUGAAGAGUUCAUUUUUAGCUGAGAUAAGAAAUGGAGCCUUUCAUGUAUUAUUUCUGAUAGAGAGUUGAAAACUUUUACAUUUAUAACAAGCUAGCAAAGUUUGUUAAGAAUUUUGUGUUUAGUCUCUGUCCUCUGUAUUGGAUGGAUUCUAAAUGUUGUUUGAAUUGCAAAAUUUCUAGUUUGUUUGUGAAAAAUAUGAACACUUUUAAGGUGAUAUUUUGUUGAAUACAUUGGUUAAUUUCCUCAAGCCUUUUUCAGUGGACAUGGUUGUGUGUGUUGUUAUGGUGUGCAGGUAAGAUGGAGUUCUAUUGCAGACAAGUCAAUUCCUGAUCCUCCAACAGCUGUUCUUGUGCAUGGCAUUCUAGGUAGCCGGAAGAACUGGGGUAGGUUUUUUUCCCUCCCUAUAUAUAUACAUAGCAAUCGUGAAUUCUAUACUUCCUAACAUGUUGAAAUGCUAACACUCAUGAUAGUUUUUUUGUGCCUGUGUAUGUUUGUUUUGUUGAUAUUUUUAUUUUAUUAUUUUUUUUAUUUUUUAAAACUUAUAUAUGAGUUGCAGGAAUGAGCAUAGGAACAAAGAGAAAUCAUACAUCUGAGAUGGCAGUUUGGUUUUCUUUAAUGAGCCUAGGGAAAAGGAUAAUCAUUUAUAUGAUAUUUUGAUCAUGUAUUGAUCCCUUGACGUAUUGUUGCAUGAAAAUUUUAUUGGUGCAUUCACCUCUCCCAUGACUGAAAUGAUAUUUUUGCACUGAACUGUUCUUGUUCUGUGAUAUGAACUGUUAAAAAAAAUGACUUGACCUUCAAAUUUUGAUUUGGAAAAAAGGAAUCCUUGAUUCUAUGAUGAAGAAGGAAAUUAGCUUCAGGUCUAUCUUGUGCUUGUUUUAUCAAAUAUUUUGAGUAGUUUAAUGCAUGCUGAUUUACAUUUUUCCUGUGCUUAUUAUGUUGAUCUUAUUCAGCAUUUCCAUUUCCAAAGAUGUGCUGGUUUGUUUGAUUUAGACGAUCAAACCAUACACUUCUCACCAUUUGCAUGGUACUGUCCAUGUCUUGUUUUCUUCUUCUUCUUCUUCUUUUUCUUCACAUUUUUGGUGUUUUCAACUAGUUGGACUUUGGGCUUUGGUGUUUUCUGUUGAUGCCAUUGUUGGAAGAAGUUCCAUUUUUUCCCGGUUGUAGAUACCUUUCUUGCAUUUUCCUUCUUAAUUCAGUCUCCAGUUUACUUUAUACAGUGAUAGAAUAUUUACUUUAUAGCUUGUUAUAUAUGUAUAUAUACAAGCAAUUGCUUCUUCGGAAUUUCACUAAUUAACAUCUACAUUACAGGUACCUUUGCUCGGAGAUUGGCCCAGGCAUUUCCAACAUGGCAGGUAUUUUUUCUGUGGAUUUCUGUUUGUUUUAGUGUUACUUCUUGUAUUUUUACAUAGUUCAAAUGGAACAUUUAAAUAUGUGAUCUAGUUAUGGUUCUCAAUUAUAAUUUCCUUCUACAGUUUUUUUAGAGAAGAAGCUUAUUUAGAUGUAUCUGCUUCUGCUUGUAGUCUUGCUUCUACUUGGAAAGCCUUUCUCUCAUUAUUGAAAAUGAGUUGCAAGUAUAUGUUCAAAGUUAUAUUCUUUAUGGUUAUCAAACACUACUUGUUUUGAAUGGGGAAGACGAUUAUUUCGAUGGAUGCAAUUCUGGUUAUGAUCGAAUCAUCUUGCACUGUUUACAAUGACUCAGUUCAGUCUUCACUUCUUUCUACCAUUGGUACAGUGACUCCAGCCAGCCUUUACUAAUUAACCCUGUCAAUUGAAAUAGAAGUUAUAUUGGAAACAUUUUUGUAAAGUAGGGAUAAAAUUAUCAAGGGACAUGAGAAACCUUGGCAUCUAGUGCUGAAAUUAUUAGAUGCAUUGAUAAAGCCAAAAAUGAUGAAUUGUGCAUAUUGGUGGUCCGACCACCUACAUGGUAAGACAAAAAUGUUGCAUAAGGAGAAGGUUUUGGUCAUUUAUGGAUAGCUCCCUUGUUCUUUAAUCCUAUUUUGUAGGUUUGCAAAUCUGGCAUAUUGCAUUAUGUGUUAACUGUUAGGUUUGAACCUCUUAUUGUACCUAUGUAGGGGUUAUAUUAUAACUUUUACCUAUAAUACUUUAGAGAUGUAUUGUUUUGCUUCUUAGCCGAGUGUUUUAAUUUCAACUUUAUAUAAAUGGUGCAUCCAUACUGAACAAAAGCAUUUUGGUUCAUGACAUACGAAUCUCACUUGUUUCACAUGAUUCUGUUGACAUAGUUUCUCUCAGUAGACCUGCGGUGCCAUGGUGAUUCAGCAUCAAUUAGUAAGAGGGGCCCUCAUACUGUUGCUGCAGCUGCUCUUGAUGUCCUAAAGCUAGUGCGUAAUCCCAGACCUUUAUUUAACUUCUAUGCAUUUAAUGCAUGCAUAUGUUUCUUAUCGUUCUUCAUUUUCUAAAACCAAAAAGAGAUGUGCUCUAGACUUUGUAUUUUUGGAUUCUAUACAUGGAUCAAUGGAUUCCAAGUGGGUCAUUGGAAGAGUUAUCUUGCUUUGCUAGGCCAAAAAUAGUUGUCUAAAAGUAUUUCAACCAUAGUUGUUAACUCAUAAAACAUAUUGUGUAUCUUUUUUCUAUUUUUCUAUAUCGUGUAUCGUAUUUUAUCAUAUCAUGUAUCAUAAGUUUUUUAUAUUAUGAAAAAUAAAUAGAAAAAAUAUGUAUAUGUAUGUAUAUCUAUUGAUAGUAUGAAGUAUAGAGUAAUAUAUAAUAAAAAAAUAUAAUGAUUUUAUGGAAAAUAGUAGGAUCUAAAGAGUUCACCAUCAUUUGACCAACUUUUUAUGGAAAAUAUAACCAACUUUUUAGGUUCACUGUCAUUCCUUUUCCACCAAAAAAGAAAUAAACAAAAGUUAACAUAUUGAGUAAAAAAUUUUAUUCACUAAUCACCAUCAUUUUCAUUUUCAACAUUCAAACCAUUCAAAUGAAAAUUCUCCGAUAUUCAUUGUAAAAGUAAACUUACUUGACUUCUAAUAUAACAUUUGACAAUAAGAAUGUAUCUUUUCAUAUAAAGGGUAUUUUACCCAUUUCUCUUUUUUAUGAUCAAUUUUUAAUCUUUUAGUAUAUUUUAAACAAUUAAUAUAAUAAAUUCUUUUAACAAAAAAAAUUGAUUUUUUUUUAAAAUUAUAGAAAAUAGUUGAAGAUGUAUGUAUUAUUGUAUCAUAAUAUCAUGUAUCUUAUAUAUAUCCCUUUAAAAUUAGAUAUAGAUUGUGAUAUGUAUCGAUUUUCAUAAAAAAUGUAUCAUAUUGUUGUAUUGUAUUGUGUAUUGAGAGUUUUUAACAACUAUAAUUUCAACAUCUAAGCAUCUUUAAACUCUUUACACUAGUUUUCACCCAUUAGUUGGCUUAUCCUCAUGGGGAAAUGAUCAUACAUGUUAACUUAAAACUCUACUAGCUAUUGAUACUAUCGGCCUGGCUCUGGUUAUGAUACAUCCCAUAUUAAUGUGCUACUGAUGUGCCAAACCAAAAAAAAAAAAAAAAAAAAAACAAAUAUCAAAUAGGAAUAGAAUGAGAAAGGAGAAAACAACUCUAAUCUUCACAACUCUCAUUGGCUUUAUUUCUCUGUAUUUUCUCUUUUGUUGGGGUUGCCUCCCAUCUGUUUCAUGAUGGUUGUAGUGUUGAAUUACUUCUCUUGUUUCUCCCUUUGUUCCUCUCUCAUUUCUCCCCCUCUUCUCUUUGGUUUUUCCAAUGUCUUUUUCUUGUUUUCCUCUCUGCCUCCGACUCUGUCUCUCCUCUCUUUCUCUUUCUCUUUCUCUCUCUCUUUCUCUUGCGUUUCCUUUGUUUUUCCGUCUUUUUUUCAUUGAUUUGUGUGGAGAGGGAAAUUCACCACCACCUGCCCUUUGAUGGCCUUCAAAUAAGUCAUUUGCUCUACCUUGCUAUUUCCUAUGGUUAAAUUUCCAUUCUAUAUUUUUUCUUUCCUUUUUUCUAUAAUAACAUUUGUUGGAAUUGGAAUUUUUUCCCACCCAUAUAAAUCAUUAUAAACUUUUAUAAGGAUGUUAUAUGAAAAUAGAAAUAUAUGACACUUACUUUUUAAUUAUUUUUUUCUUAUUUUAUAGUAUUGUUUUUCCUUUUAUAAUUACAAAAUAGAUGCCAAUUAUAUAAUUUAAUUAUUAUUUUUCCCAAAUAGAAAAAAUUACCUAAUUCAACUGUUAUUUUUUUUUCAGGUAGCAAAAAAUUUAUGCAAUCCAAUUAUUAUUAUUUUCCAGUUCUUUUAUGGAAUUAUUAAUAUGAUUCUUUGUGAUGUAAAUGAAUUUAUCCUUUAUUUAUUAUACAUAUAGUUUAAAUUAUUUUAAAUAUUUAUCACCUAUGAAAAUUGGAGUCUUAAAAGGCUUAUGCCUCGCCUUGUGGGCACCAAAACACUUUGCCUUGCGCAUUUGCGUUUGAAAACUUCGAUAAUAACCACUAAGAAAACUGGUGUCUGGUUGAUUGUAAAUAAAGUGACAUUUAAGGUCUACAUAAUUAGAGCCUGGGAUAGCUCCUUAGUGAAGAUACUUUUUUAGCUUCAAAGUUCAACAUCAUGGGUAUUGCCUUCUGACUCGAAGGUAAAAACAAUGUUUGUUGACUUGAAACUUUAAAAGGCUUAUACCCUAAUGCCUCAAGGCUUAUGCCUCGCCUUGUGGGCACCAAAACACUUUGCCUUGCGCAUUUGCGUUUGAAAACUUCGAUAAUAACCACUAAGAAAACUGGUGUCUGGUUGAUUGUAAAUAAAGUGACAUUUAAGGUCUACAUAAUUAGAGCCUGGGAUAGCUCCUUAGUGAAGAUACUUUUUUAGCUUCAAAGUUCAACAUCAUGGGUAUUGCCUUCUGACUCGAAGGUAAAAACAAUGUUUGUUGACCUAAAACUUUAAAAUGUUGAAACCAAAGCCUCAAGGCUUAUGCCUCACCUUGUGGGCACCAAAAACACUUUUGCCUUGCGCAUUUGCGUUUGAAACUUUCGAUAAUUAACCACUAAGAAAACUGGUGUCUGGGUCGAUUGUAAAUAAAGUGACAUUUAAGUCUACAUAUUAGAGCCUGGAAUACUCCUUAGUGAAGAUACUUUUUUAGCUUCAAAGUUCANNNNNNNNNNNNNNNNNNNNNNNNNNNNNNNNNNNNNNNNNNNNNNNNNNNNNNNNNNNNNNNNNNNNNNNNNNNNNNNNNNNNNNNNNNNNNNNNNNNNCCCCCCCCCCCCCCCCCCCCCCCCCCCCCCCCCCCCCCCUUUUUUUUUUCUUUUGAUAGGUUAAAAUGUUGAAACCCUUGUUCUUUUGGUUACUGCCAAUGAUAUAUCUGAAUGAUGAUGUGUUAGGAUAUGAAUAAAUAUUCGGUUUAACUCCUAGAUAUCUUGAACCCCUAUAAUCAAAAUUUUAGUUGAGUUAAAAUAAAAAAGCCAUAAGCCUGGCUGGAAAUGGUUAGGGCAAUCUUUUUGCCAAUGGUAUAUCUGAAUGAUGAUGUGUCAGGUUAUGAAUAAAUAUUCUGUCUAAUUCCUAGAUAUCUUCAAGGGCAGUUUUUUCCUCUUUUCUCUUCAUGCAUACUGGCUUUGUUAUUUUAGUUUCUCUAAGUAUGUUUUUUUUGUCAGUCCAGUCUAGAUAUAGUAAAUAUAGAAUGGUGAAUAAGCUUCAGUGGAACACAAGGCUACUUCAAAAAAAAUAAUACUGGACAUGUAUGGUUCAAGAAACAUAUCUAUUGUUUGUGUUCUAUUAUCAAUUUGAAUGAUUUGGCUGGCUAUACUUUUUUAUUUUUUUCAAGUUCCAUGAUGAAGUUAUACAAGAUUGAAUCAUUAUAAGGUCCAUAUGAUUUACAUGGAUAUGUCAGUAUAGAUUACAUGUAUAGCAUUUUUUUAUCGGUACCUGAGAAUUCAUUGUAAUCUAAUUUCAGCUUUUCUUGUUUCACUUACGUCUUCUAUAUUUUAAGGUUUUUUUGUGUGAGGAACUGAAUCCACCGGUGUCCAGGAAAAGCAUUUUCUUGCGCAUCAAUAUAAUUAAUAUACUUGAGAAAAUCUUUUUAAAAUUUUUGUUUCAUCAUCUUGUCUGAAAUAGGUUGCACAGCUUAGAAUAACACCUCGAGUUCUAGUUGGUCACAGCUUUGGAGGAAAAGGUAAGUUAUAACUAGUCUAACUUAUUCCAAUUCAUGGAUGAUACAUGAUGAUUAAAUUAUAGAUUUUUUUGCUAACUGCUUAAUCCACUCCCUAAAUUUUCAUGCAGUUGUCUUGAGCAUGGUGGAACAAGCUGCAAAACCUCUUGCACGACCAGUCAGAGUAAGUUUGAAGUCUGCUAGAAAUUGUUAAGGUGGUUUUGAAUUUUGGUAGGGUGAAAAAUUGUGUCCCCCCACCCCACCAAAAAAGGAGAAAACUUUGGUUAUGUAGACAUUGAAUAAUGUAAAGAUUAUGCCAGUUUAAGAAACACUGAACUAAAUUAUCAAGUGAAGUUAUGUUAACUUUGAGUUCAAGGUGAAAUCUGGUAAUUCCAGAACUGGUAAUCUUCAUGAAAUUUGAAUUGUGGUUCAAGCAAUUAUGAUCUAUUAUUCUUUUUUUUUUUUUUUAAUUUUAUAAUCUAUUUUUAUUAGGUUUGGGUUCUAGAUGCAACUCCUGGGAAAGUUCGUCCUGGUGGAGAUGGAGAGGAUCAUCCAGAGGAACUAAUAUCUUUCCUUAGUAAAAUGCCCAAUGAGGUGAAUUUCUGGUCCAUUGUUGUUUUCCUAUUUUUAAUAUAAUGAGUUCCAUUGGAGACAUAAACAUCUAAUUGGCAUCUUCGUACGGUGUAUUUCUUUUCUUUAUGUUGAAUUAAAAAAUUUGUAAUUUCCAGAUCAGUCAACCAAGUUGUGGAGCAACUACCUCAACAACUGAGGCUUUUUUUGGGGACCUCUUGCCUCCCGUAGUUACUUUUCUUGUUGAUCUUGUAGUUAUUGCUGUGCUACCAUGUUUCCUUAUUUGUUGGUUGUACUCCUGCAUUUUCUUUUUCUGAAAUAUUCGUUCCAAAGGGCCAAAAUAUUUUCUACUUUGAAAAAGAACCUCCAUGUUUUGAAAAUUGUAAAUGUAACCUCAAAUGUACGAAAAUGCCCCUUACCUUCCUUUGUAAAAAAUGCAUUGAUGUGAAAUGGGUAUAAAAAGUUUGAUGAAGGGUUUUUUGGUCCAAAAGGGUUAUUUUUUUGUGUUUUGGAAAAGUGGAGGGCAUUUUUGUGAAAUAGGGUCAUAUUUUGACCCUUUUAAUCAAAUAUCCACUUCUUUUCUUUUUUCUAUUCUCUUGCAGUCUUCUAGUAGUCUCUGGUAUUCAAGGAUAAGUCAUCCUUCCUUGGAAUUUUUACCGAUAAAUAGUUAGUUUUUGACAAAUGGAAGAACUAUUCUUAGGUGUUAUGUGUCUUAACGGGUUUUCACUAUUUUGGUCUUUUUUAUUUUUAAUUUUUUUAUUUUAGCAGUUUAGUAUCUUACAUCAUUAAGUUUAUGUUUGGUUCUUGAUAACUACUAAGAAAAGGAGGGAACAAAAAAACCAGGGAAAAUAAUUUUCUCAUGUUUAGUUUACCGUGGAAAAUGUAGAAGAAAAUCAAAUAUAAUUAAAAUUAGUUAGAAACUUCUAUAUUUUCAAAUUAUUUAAUCUUUAUAUAGACAAGAAAAAAUAAGUGAAAUGAGCUUGGAGAAGUGUGUAAAAAUAAUUUAUUAACUCUACAUAUGUUUUUCAUUUUUCUUCACUUUUUCUUUUAGUCUAUUUUUCCUUUCUUUUUUCUUUCUCUCACAUUGUCUUCAAAUUUUCCAAGAACCAAACAUGGGGUAAUGAUUCCUUAUUCUCUCUUCCAAACAAAAAUGCUACUCCCAUCCAGUUUUUUUUUUCUUUGAUAGGAAAAAAGCAUAAAUAUAUUAGACAUGCCUAAGAAAAGGCGCAUCAAUGGACACAUGGUGUAUACAUAUGACUCCCACGAAAGGCGUGCUGAAAAAGGAGGGAAAAUACAAUAGACAACCAUUAAGCUUAGCCAAUCAACAAAGUUAGUCAUUGAGCUACUCCAAUCUUAUGUCAUGUUUUGUUGCCUAUCUUGUGAAGGAGAACGUAUUUAAUAGAAGUUGCAAUCUUAAAAUAAAUGAAUAACUAAAUGACAUGUGGCUUUACAAUCAUAGGUCUUGCGGUUAGUUAGGAAAAACUUAGAGCUUGUUUAGAAAUGAUUAAUAUAAAAACGCUUUUGUCAGUAACGCUUUUAUCAAAAGCACUUUAAUGAAAAAUAAUUAGUGUUUGGAUAUAAACAACAGAAAUAUGCUUUUGGUCAUGUUUUUGGGAAUUAUCAAGGGAUACUUUUGGUAGAUGUUUUAUUUGAAAUUCAAUUGCCUCUUUUUUUUUUUUUUUUUCUUUUUUUGAGAAAAGCACAUGUCAAAUGCAAGUGCAAGAAACAAUUCAACUGAUUUUCUAUACUUUGAAGUGUUCUUUAAAUUUUUUCCAAAUGCCUCAUUUUUAUAAGGAAAGCCCUCUUUGAAUCACUCCUAAAUGGACUCUAGGUGUCCAAUCCAUGAGUGGACCAAGUUAGUUCAAUUCUCUACCUAUUGGAAAUAGGACCAGACGAACAUUGGUGGAGAACCAACUCAAACCGAAGAAUUGAGUCUCAGUUGAAUUGGUUUGAAGGUUGAUGCAUCCUGACUUGCACCUUUAAUAUGCUUAGCCCAGUAGUUUGUAUGUGCAAAACAUUAACCUUGGGCUGAGUUGCCAGUAUAUAAUUUCAUGUACAUAAGUUUUUUCAGUGAAUAUCAGUUGCAUUUGUCUUCUGAAACAUUGAUGUAGUUGAAAUUUUAAUCCUGGAGUUCAAAAAGAUAUGCAUUUGUGCCCUUCAUUAUCAGAGUUUCAUUAUUAUUUUGGAGUAUGACUGGAAAAUCUUAACUCUGGUGGAGAAUCAUUUGUUACCAAUUAUCAUUCCUCAAAUGUGGGCAGUUUGAUUUCCAAAUAAAUACAAUUGUUGCAUUAGUAAACCUUUGGUCUUUCUGUUGUAUUAUUUUUAGUUUAUUAUUACUAAUCAUCAUGUUUGUCAGAAAAACAAAAAAAUUGUUACUAAUUGUCAUGUUCACUCUACUUAUGUAUGAUUAUUCCAGUAAUCAGCUUUUAUAAUUUUUCAUGUCAUUUGUUCCUUGUUGCAGUGAACCAAUUUUAAGCUUUAUAAUAUUUAAUUUAUCUUGUAAAAUAUUUUCCUUUUUGGGCAUGAUUAUGAGCAUCUUAUAAUCUCUUCUUUAUGGAAGGUGUUUUCAAAGCGGGAUGUUAUGAAUGCUCUUAUUAAAGAAGGAUUUUCCAAAGAUGUGGCACAGGUAAUAUCAAACAUACAAGCUAAUUUGGUUUUACUUAGAUCUCAAUGGUUUACUUUCAAGUUGGGAUGGUGAAACUCAUGAUGAAUAGAAUGUUAUAGAUUUUCUCCAUCUUUUCCUAUUUUCUUUUCUGGUCUUAGCUUAGUUUUUUUGUUGUUAAAUUUCAUAUCGUUGGUGAUUUCCAAAACCUUGGUAAAUUUUUGGUCAUGUUGCUUUUGUCCUAGGAUACAUUUAUUCUAGACUACAACACUGCCAGUUUGAAUGUGCAACAUUUCUGUUGACCAACUUGACAAAUGCUAUUUGGUUAAUGGUUUGGUAAGUCUUAUUAUUGUGGAUGAGAUGAAAAAAAGAUUAUGAGUGCUGCUUAAGCAAUUAGUUUGUUGCAUCAAGAUAUUUUUAAAACAUUAAAGCUUGUAGUAGGGAAUUAUUGUCGCUUUUUUGUUCGAUCUUUGAAUUAUUUUUUCCUUUUUUAUUUUGAAUUUCUUAUACAUCCCCCAAAAUUUUAUGUUCUUCUCAUUUUUGUUCUCACGUCCAGUGGGUGGUAACAAACCUCCAACAGACCAGUUCCCCUGGUUCAUCAUCGCCAAGCUUCUCAUGGGUGUUUGACCUCAAGGGAAUUGCUGAGAUGUAUCAAUCCUAUGAAGAAACAAAUUUAUGGUAUUCAUGUUCAGAACUUGUUUUUCAUCUUGAAUUGAUGUCAAAUCUCAUAUUAUUCUUCUAAAUACGGCUUAUUUCUGAAGAUCUUCUAAUUUGAUAAAUUAAUAGCAAUACCACUGACUUGUUAGUAGACUCUGACAUGGGUUGAGGUAGCAAUACCACUAUCUUUGCAAGGGUUGAGGUAGGAGUUCAACUGGGGGUUGGAGUUGGUGGAGUUCUUUAUGGAUGAGGCUUGUUGAUGUGGAGAUUAGGUGAAAUGGAAGGGUUUAAAAGAGGAGAGGUUUUCCUUAGAACUUCUUUUGAUUUGAUAUCGGUAGGAGUAGUUGUCAACUGCCCUGCUUUAGAGACUUGGAAAACUGCCAACACUCUGAAAGUGGCCUAUCUUUUAUCUUGAUGGGAGGAUAGGAGAGGAUUUUGACACCAAAUCAUUUGGUGUGCAGAUGGAGGUACUUGGCAAAUUGGUGUUGCAUGUGCAGACAUGGAGUCAGUUAACCAUCUUUUGAGCCCUUGUCCUGAUGCUUGGGCUUUUGGGACUGGUUUUCAUGCUUUUUUGUAGUUUCUUGGGUGCUUCCAAGAACAAUAGGAGAGCUACUUGUGAAUUUGUUUGGAGAUAUAGGAGGCAAGAGUGGAGUAGUGUUCCCUUCAAGUUAUAGGGGAAUGAAACUCCUGACAGCAGACUAUAAGAUUGUUUUAAGAUCUUUGCAUGCUUUGGACAGAGGGUGAUCUUUUGAUCUGGACAUGCUCUUUUAUGAGCUCAUAAAUAGUUUAGGUUAUACACAGGUUAAGAAGCUAUUGGCUUUUGUUUGCUUUGUUUUCUGUCCUUUUUUUUUUUUUUUUUUUUUUGCCUUAUUUUCUUCUCACUUCCUGUGGGCUGUCCAUAUAAACUGCCUGUGCCCUUCGGUUGCACUGCCCUCAAUGCUUUUCUAUUACAUUUAUUUUCCUAUUAAUGGAAACUAUGUUGACAUCUUGCAAUUCUUGGAGGUUAACCUAAAUACAAUCUUGCCUUUUAAACCCUUGCUUCAAGCGCUAUCCAAGCUUUAGGUCCCUAACCCAAUCUCGACUCAAGCUCAUCUUUUCUGAGCUCCGGGUCAGGCAGGUCCUAGUUAUUAGGUUUUGAUUAGGUUAAAUGACAGAGGGAGAGAAAAAAAAAAAAGAAGAGAAAGACAAGCAAUGAAGACAGACAACCAAGAACACAAUUAUUGAUAUGGAUGCAAAAAGGCUUGCAAGUAGGAUUAACAACAUUCCCCUUGCAUAGUUGAUUCGGAGGCAGUAGGGGUUUAGCUUUCAGGCCAUGGUACCGUUGUAGUUGUCUGGAUAACAAAGAUGAGGGUUCUGGGACUUCAUGCCAGGUGUGGGUCAUGAUGAUGUGGUCUAGGUUUGGUGUUUGGGUAGGUGAGGUGAAGAAGAGUUUUUCAAAGGUUGAUGGUGAUGGAAGUGAUCCAGAGUGUGCUGUAAUUGGCAGGUCAUUAUAGUGAUAUUACCGUGGAAGAAGUAUAGCAAUUAUAGAGGAAAAACUCCAACCCUAGACAGACAUUGACUUCAGGCUGAGGUUUCUGGGUUUCUUUGGUGCUUUAACCUGUAAAUUUGGCACAUGGACCCUAAUGCUAGCCCUAGAUUGAUUCAUACAAAACUGGCUGCAAUCUGUUCAAUUACUAUUACUUUUGUUUGAUAGUAAUAAUAACUAAUUGAUAAGAUAGAUUAGGUUUAGAAAAGCCUUUUGCCCUGGCCCAACCUGGACUGAGGUUGCGUUGAUGUUUCUUUAGAAAAGUUGCAUUUGUAUGAUAGUGGGAUUUACCAUAUUCGAGUAUAGAGAGCCGAAAAAGGGCACUUCCCAUGGACAUGUUCCUCUCAAAUCCUUUUCUUGGACCUGUUCUUCCCGAAUCCCACCUUGGGUUUAUCAUCUCUUUUCCUUAUCCUUCUAUUGUCAUCGACCGAAGCUAAAUGGGUGUUAGGAUUUACCAAACCGGUGCACUGAAAAACUGAGCUGAUGACUGGCAACUAACUCUUAAAGCAAGGAGUCAGGAUGGUGAUGGGAAGUUCUGGGAUUGAUUACAUGUACUAACCAGAGAAAAAAAAUAGUUCCAUAUUAAAAAACUAUAAAAAAUAUAAGAAAUAGAG